GACGAACGCUGGCGGCGUGCCUAAUACAUGCAAGUAGAACGCUGAAGGAGGAGCUUGCUUCUCUGGAUGAGUUGCGAACGGGUGAGUAACGCGUAGGUAACCUGCCUGGUAGCGGGGGAUAACUAUUGGAAACGAUAGCUAAUACCGCAUAAUAGUAGAUGUUGCAUGACAUUUACUUAAAAGGUGCAAUUGCAUCACUACCAGAUGGACCUGCGUUGUAUUAGCUAGUUGGUGGGGUAACGGCUCACCAAGGCGACGAUACAUAGCCGACCCGAGAGGGUGAUCGGCCACACUGGGACUGAGACACGGCCCAGACUCCUACGGGAGGCAGCAGUAGGGAAUCUUCGGCAAUGGACGAAAGUCUGACCGAGCAACGCCGCGUGAGUGAAGAAGGUUUUCGGAUCGUAACGCUCUGUUGUAAGAGAAGAACGAGUGUGAGAGUGGAAAGUUCACACUGUGACGGUAUCUUACCAGAAAGAGACGGCUAACUACGUG
rnacentral:rRNA from 1 species